CCAUGAUGAAGGCAUUUCCUGUUCAUUCCUCUCAGUAGCAGCAACUAGAUCCUGGCUUAGUCUGGUGUUGUUGGUUGUUUUACUCUUCACUCUUUUGGGGGUGCCCACCCCCAGCUCCCAAAUAAUAUCACACACGGAGGCUAAUUCAUAAUUAUAAAUGCCUGGCCUAAUCUUGACUUGUUGCUAGCCAGCUUUUCUUAACUUAAAUGAUCCCAACUACCUUUUGCCUCUGGACUUUUUCCUUUUCUUACUUCUUUAUGCCAUACUUUCCUCCUUACUCCAUGGCUACCUGUGUGGCUGGUCCCUCGCAUCGUCCUCUACUUGUUCUUGCUCUUCCUUCUCUCCCCCCAGAUUUUCCCUCCUCUGUAUUCUCUCUGUCUACCAGCCUCACCUCGCCGUUCUACUGCCUCACUAUUGGCCUUUCGGCCCUUUAUCAGACCAUCAGGUGUUUUAGACUGGCGAAGCCACAGAGUUUCCCAGAGUUAAACAAAUGCAGCAUAAACAAAAGUGACACGCCUUGAAAUAAUAUUCCCCUACAGUCUGGGGGCUACGGGUGGGAGAAGGUGUGAGGUGGAGUCUACCAGACCAGGAAAUACUGCGAGAGACCUAAGAUACCUAAACACUGCUAAAGCCCAACCACUAACCAUAAAGAAAAGCAGACAGAGUCUUGAAGUCUUAAGCACCACACCAAAUGCCGUCUGAUGUUUGAAGGUGCGCUGCGCCUCACAACCCAGUUUCAACAGAGCACUCCCUUGUCCAAGUAGUCACUGAGGCUGACUCAGAUAAGGCAGUUCUCUUGUUUCUGCCUUCCGUGGACUGUGCCACACUCUGACUACCAAGACUCAGCAGCGCAGACUCAAGCAUGAUUCAACACAAAGCCUACUAGUCGGAAAGACAAAGACAGCUAAUCCCCAAGACGUGGCCAGAGGGGUAAUUUGAUGACCUUAGGUGGGGGAAGGAACGACCAUCAGAAAGAAGAUGGAGUGGUUUUGUUUUUUGAGACAGGUCUGGCUGUAAAGCUCUAGCUGUCCUGGA